rnacentral:rRNA from 1 species
GAUGAACGCUGGCGGCGUGCCUAAUACAUGCAAGUCGAGCGAACGGACGAGAAGCUUGCUUCUCUGAUGUUAGCGGCGGACGGGUGAGUAACACGUGGAUAACCUACCUAUAAGACUGGGAUAACUUCGGGAAACCGGAGCUAAUACCGGAUAAUAUUUUGAACCGCAUGGUUCAAAAGUGAAAGACGGUCUUGCUGUCACUUAUAGAUGGAUCCGCGCUGCAUUAGCUAGUUGGUAAGGUAACGGCUUACCAAGGCAACGAUGCAUAGCCGACCUGAGAGGGUGAUCGGCCACACUGGAACUGAGACACGGUCCAGACUCCUACGGGAGGCAGCAGUAGGGAAUCUUCCGCAAUGGGCGAAAGCCUGACGGAGCAACGCCGCGUGAGUGAUGAAGGUCUUCGGAUCGUAAAACUCUGUUAUUAGGGAAGAACAUAUGUGUAAGUAACUAUGCACGUCUUGACGGUACCUAAUCAGAAAGCCACGGCUAACUACGUG